rnacentral:rRNA from 1 species
AACGAACGCUGGCGGCAGGCCUAACACAUGCAAGUCGAACGCCCUCUUCGGAGGGAGUGGCAGACGGGUGAGUAACGCGUGGGAACCUACCAUACGGUACGGAAUAACUUCAGGAAACCGGAGCUAAUACCGUAUACGCCCUUCGGGGGAAAGAGUUUAUCGCCGUUUGAUGGGCCCGCGUCGGAUUAGCUUGUUGGUGGGUAAUGGCCUACCAAGGCGACGAUCCGUAGCUGGUUUGAGAAGAUGAUCAGCCACACUGGGACUGAGACACGGCCCAGACUCCUACGGGAGGCAGCAGUGGGGAAUAUUGGACAAUGGGCGCAAGCCUGAUCCAGCCAUGCCGCGUGAGUGACGAAGGCCUUAGGGUUGUAAAGCUCUUUCAGCGGGGAAGAUAAUGACGGUACCCGCAGAAGAAGCCCCGGCUAACUCCGUG